UAACAGGAUUAGAUACCCGGGUAGUCCACGCCGUAAACGAUGGAUACUAGCUNGUUGGAGGUAUCGACCCCUUCAGUAGCGAAGCUAACGCGUUAAGUAUCCCGCCUGUGGAGUACGGUCGCAAGACUAAAACAUAAAGGAAUUGACGGGGACCCGCACAAGCGGUGGAUCAUGUUCUUUAAUUCGAUGCUAAACGAAGAACCUUACCAGGGCUUGACAUCCCGAGAAUUUUGCCGAAAGGCGAGAGUGCUUUAUUGAACUCGGUGACAGAUGAUGCAUGGCCGUCGUCAGCUCGUGUCGUGAGAUGUUUGGUUAAGUCCAUCAACGAGCGCAACCCUUGUGAUUAGUUGUAUUUUUCUAAUCAUA
rnacentral:rRNA from 1 species